GUGACGUCAGAGGGCCGCUCGCCAGCAGAACGUUCCAUUGAGGCGAGCGAGCGCGUGCGGCGGCCCGAGCACAUGGGGAAAACGGGCUGGGACGGGCUGCCUGGCAGACCGGGGCCGGGGGGCCGGGCCCCCGGGACUCGCGGACCCCGCUGCGGAAGGGAUUCUAGCCGCUGUGUGACCUGUGGAUCCGGGGUCGGACUCGCCCUCCAGUUUUCGGCCUAGUCUUUCAACUAAAGAGAAAUAAAAAGAUGAGCCUCCUGGCAACUUCCUCUGUCUGUUUCAUGGGACUACAUUCAAGGAUAUCCAAGACUGGAGGAUUUACAGAGCUCCAGAGCCGCCUGGGGGGAUGCUGAUGGAGUCCUGGGAUGCCAUGCUGCUGUCAUUUGCAUUGUUUUUUCCCAAGAUGGGUUGGUGAAGAACCCAUAUUGAGUUUCUUGUGGGGGAUCUGCAGUUGGAUUCUUUUGAAGGUUGAUUGAGAAGAGGAGGGCUUUUUCCAUUGAAGCAAGGAGAUUUUGCUUCAUCUCUUUCUUUUUUAUACAAUGCUGAUCUUUAAAAGGUCUUUGAAUGCAAGAUAUUAAUAAUAUAUUUGGAACAAGAGCCAGAAAAUAUGGAUUAGAAACCCUCCUUUACCAGUCAACAUGUAUAUGACUGUGGUCAAAUUAAUCACCCUUUUGGAGGCUUGAAUUCCUCAAUACAACACCUGGCACAUUGAUUAUGGAUAGAGGAGAGCCUAGAGAUCAUCCAGUCUAACCCCUGUGAAUUUUUAGACACGGAUACUUCACAUCAUAGAGUGGAGUUGACUUGUCCAAAAUCCCAUAAGAAAAGUAAACCUUCAGUCCUACUUCUGGACCACCACUGCCAUACUGCUUCCUUUUGGAUAUCCUUCUCAUCACUGAAACCUUGUACCCUGCUGCAGGACACCUGGCUCUGAUAGGUGAGCUUCUGUCUUAUCACAUCCAGAAAUAGGCCUUCCUUCUCUUUCCUGGCCAUCCACAUGCUGUGGCCCUUUGUUUUCCCUACCCUCUUUGACCCAAUCAUUUAACUUCCUUGUUUACUGUAUCUGAAGAAUGGGGGUAAAAGUAUGACUUUAAAGGCAAAGACUCUCCUACUUUACCUGUAUUUUUAUGCCUAGUUCUGAGUAUAGUACCUGGUACUUAGUAAGCAUUUAAUAAAUGCUCUAUAUAUCUAUCUAUUCAUAUAUCUAUCUGUCGUUUUAGCAGAAACUCUCUAGUGGAGUGCCCAAGGAAUCUAUAUUUGGUCCUGUGCCAUUUAUAUUUUUAUUAAUGAUUUGAAUAAAGGUAUAGGUGCUAUGUUAUCAAAUUUGCAAAUGACAUGGUGCUAGAGGGAGUAUACUAGAGGUUCUGGAUGACAGAAUGAAAUUUCAAAAAGAGCUAAUAGGCUAGAGUGGCCAAAUAUAAUAGAGAUAAAUGAAAAUUCACAUAUUUGGGUCCAAAACCUGAACUUCAGAAGUAAAUAAGGCUCAAAGUAUAAACAUAAGGUGAUUCAGCAGUAUUCUAGAGUCAUUACAAGAGAGGAAUUUCUUGUUUGUUCUUUUUGAAACUUCUAUUCCAUCAUCCCUCUUUAUGGUGACCUGAUCAGAUCACAGUUUGACUGUUGUAUUUCAUUCUGGCCAUCACACCAGAACUAGAGUGUCUGGAUUAAGGCAGCCAAGGAAGGUGAAAGAACUUCUGGUACCAUCAUGUGGAGUUUAUUGAGAGGAACCAGGGAUUUUUAAUCUAGAGAAGGAAAUAGUUAUUGAGAUAAAUAAGAUGAGGAAUAUUUUAGCUCUGUUAAGGCCUCUGAAGGAUUGUCAUGUGGAAGAGGGAUUAGAUGAGACCUGCUUUGUCCCCAGACAGCAAAACUAGAAGCCCUAGAUUAGCACUUUGAAAAAGGCAACUUUCCUAGCCAUCAAUGUUAUCCCCAAAUGGAAUGUGCUGACUCACCAGGAAUCUCCCAUCAAUAGCUAGGUGAUCUUGCCCUGUGAGUCUGUUGUGGUGGAGAUUGUUGUUUCAGGUAUGGUUUGAACUAGGUGAGAAAAAAAAGAAUAUUCUUUUACCUCCAGCCAUACACUUUAAUUGGGUUUCUAUUUUCCAACUUCAGUUUAAUGUUUAAAUAAAAUCAAAAAGGUUGGACUUGGGAGGAGAAGGGAAUAUUUCUGUUUUCUGGCUGAAAAUGAAGUAUGAUAAAAAUGUAGCGGUGCCUUAGAGCUAAUUCCUGGGUAAAGGGCUUUGCACAUAGUAGGUUCUUUUGUUUGAAUGGAGCUCACAGGAGUUAACUUUUUUGCUUGAUGGACCCCUUUGUCAGUCUGAUGAAAUCUCAGAAUCAUGUUUGUAAAUGAAUAAAACACAUAGAUUGUAAAGGAAACCAAUGUUAUUGAAACAUGGUUAUGAAAAUGUUUUCUUUUAAAAAAAAUUCACUGACCUUCAGAUAAAAAGAAAGAACCUUGGCCCUCACUGCUUUGAGCUUAAAGAUGUAAGCUUAGAAAAUACAGAGUCCCAUGAUAGGCUGCUUCUGAAAGGUAUCCUGAAAUAAUUGGGGGGGGGGGGGUUGCACAAAUACCUUACAGACAUUUUAGUAGAGGUUAGUGCUAUCUCACAAAUGCAACAAAUGACUUUUUAAGAAAAGAUAAACCUUCCCUCUCUUCUCCCCCUCCCCCCUUUAAAGAUUGCACUCCUGCCUUUGAGAGAAUCUCUGUCUCAGGAAUUUGGAGGUCAUCUGGUCCAUAUGUUCCCCUCUCCUCCCACCUGAAGCAUGGAAGUCUGACAUCCCCAUUCAGCCUCUGCUGGAAUCCUAUCUCUGGAAGCUGCCCAUUCCAUUCCCUAACUGGAAUAACAAAUUACUAAGGAACAAGUUUUUCCUUAAUGAGCUGAAAUCUUUCCUGAGAACCAUUCUUUCUCUUUUUAUUGGAUUGCCUAGAACUCAUGCACUGGUGCCAUUUGUGUUAGGCAAAAGUUGGGAACAGGCUACUCAAGAUUUGUAGAAUAGCUGAAUUAACUGUAUCCUGUAAACAUAACGGAUUAUUAUUGUGCUAUAAGGAAUAAUGGACACUAGGAAUUCAAAGAGAAAAUUAGAAGGCUUGCAUGAUGGGAUGUAUAGUGAAGAAAGAAGAGAUAAAAAAAAAUAGAAAUGCAUGGUGAAUUACAACUGAGCAAAUGCAAACAUUAUAGGGCCUCAAAGAGUAAAACAUAGUCUCCUUUUCUUGAAGAAAGGGCAAAAUUUUAAGAUGUCAAUGGGAAACACUCAUAUGUAGUUUUGUAUUAACUGUUUUCAGGGAGUACAUUCUAUAGUUUGUUUACAUUGUUGGUUAUGUUUGAAACAUAAUUUAUCCUUUAAAAAAAUUAUCAUUUUAUGUGAUGUUCAACUGUGAUGGACUUCUCUGUUUUCAACAAUAAAGUGAUUCAGGUCAAUUCUAGUAGACUUAUAAUGGGGAGAGCCAACUGCAUCCAGAGAGAGGACUAUAGUGACUGAAUGUGGAUCACUGCCUAGUAUUAUCACCUUUUUUUGUUACUGUUGUUUGCUUGCUUGUUUUUUCUUCAUUUUUUUCCCUCUUUUGAUCUGAUUUUUCUUCUGCAGAAUAGUAAAUAUGAAAGUAUGUUUGGAAAAAUUGCCCAUAUCUGGCCUUUAUUGGAUUGCUGCUUUCUCUAGGGGAGAGGAGAGGGAGAACGAGAAAUCUGGAACAAAAAGGUUUUCGGUGGUGAAUAUUGAAAAUUAUCUUUGCAUAUAUUUUGAAAAAUCAAAAGCUCUUAUAAAUAAAAACAUAAUUAAAAGAUUUAAAAUUAUCAUUAAAAAAUCUUAAGAUAUUUCCAUCUAAUUUGCAUUUUUGUCUGACACAGUAAGCAUUCAUUUAAUGCUUACAGCAUACCAGAUAUUAGAGAGAAGGAUACAUAUUCUCAUAAUCUAAUGGGGCAUAUAACAUGCCAGCAGCAAGGUGUGUGUGUGUAAUAUAUGCAAGAUAAAUCAGAAGUAAGCAACUGAGAGAAGGCAUCAGAAUUAGGAUACACUGUAGAUACUCUUAAGUAGACUUCUUAAAUUACAGUGUGGCUUAUCAGAAAGCACACUGCCCUGGUGUUCCCUUCUGACUCUGACGCUCAUUGUCUAAGUUACGAGUUUUUUGUCCGUAAGAUUAUUAAAUUGGAUUGCCUGAUCUCUAAGCUUCCUUCCAGCCCUGAAAAGUCUGUUAUUUAUAAUCUUGGUAAACAUCGAUUUAGGGAUUGGAGGCAGGGGGGAGGAUUCUUUGAAAAAGUGUUGUGAAGGACUGACUUGAAUUAAAUUGCCUGGAGGGCUGUGGGCUGUCUCAUUAAUACCUAGAGUGAAAACAAAAGGACCGUCCUUCCCUAGUUCCUAAACCGACUUCACUGAAUAAUUGCCAGCCUCUGCCAGAUAAACCAGUGUGAAGAAGCCAUGUGUCAGUCUAGGGGGCCCAUGUUUGUUUCCAGCCGCUUGCCCCAGCUGUGAGGGAACAACUGGAAUUGUUUGCAUAGCUCUCUCUCACCUUAGAAAAGGUGUUUCCCACCCUCCUGCCCUACCUCUUUGGGGCAGAUUUCAUGUUUUGGGAAAGGUUUUACUUUCUGGGUUCAGGGGUCUAGGUAGACGAGACUCAGUAAUUGCAUGCUAGGGUUUAUGCCAGUUUAUUCACUCAGCUUUCAUUUGACCAGUACAGAUAUUAAUACUUUCAUUCACCAUUUCACAGGCUCAUGAGAAAAAAGUUCACUAUAAAUCUAUAAUCUAUGAAGUGCUAUACAAAAUAUUUAUACAGUUUUCAUGCUGCACAAGAAAAAUCAGAUCAAUGAUACUUCUUGUUCAGUAAGAUAACUGUAUAUAUAUAUGUAUACAUAUAUUGGAUUUAACAUAUAUUUUAACAUAUUUAACAUGUAUUGGACUACCUGCCAUCUGGGGAGGGGGUGAGGGGAGAAGGAGGGGAAAAAUUUGGAACAAAAAGUUUUACAAGGUCAGUGUUGAAAAAUUACCCAUGCAUAUGUUUUCUAAAUAAAAAGCUUUAAUUAAAAAAAAAAAAAUCAGCUCAAAAAGGAAAAAAAAAAAACUGAGAAAGAAAACAAAAUCUAAGCUCUUUCUGAGAUAUUUCACAUUAUAUCUUUCUAGCUUCUCCCAAGAGUUUGUCUUUGAUAAGAAAACAAUAUGAAUACACUUUCCCACUCAAAAAAUAAAUUUAAGUUACUCAUUCUUCCAUGUUAUUAAAUAUCUGUAUGGACAAGGUUCUAUGGAGGGAAGUGUUUUAGUUGGAUAUGAAGAUUAGAUUUCUUCCUGCCCUUAAAGAAUUUAUUUUUUAAUGGAGAUAUAAUUUGGAUAAACCAAUAAAUAUUAUUAUUAUUAUUAUUAUUAUUACAAAUAAGUAUUAUUUCAUAAGGGCAGCUAGAUAGAUAGAUGAAGUGGAUGGAGACACUUGCUAGCUGUGUGAUCCCAGGCAAAUGACUUAAUCCUGCUUACCUCAGUUUCCUCAUCUGAAAAAUGAGCUGGAGACAGAAAUGCCAAACCACCGCAAUGUCUUUGCCCAGAGAACACAAAGAGUCAGACAGGACCAAACAACAGCAACAACAACAUUAUUGGAUAAACAAAUAAGUAUCAUUUGAAUUGGAAAAGGCUGCAUCCCAGUAGAGGACUAGAAUAUUAUGAUUCAUCUGUUUAGCCAACAUAUAUGAUUUUUUUUUCUUUUUUUUUUUAAUUAAAGCUUUUUAUUUUCAAAACAUAUGCAUGGAUAGUUUUCUAUAUCAACACUUGCAAAACCUUGUGUUCCAAAUUUUUUUCCUCCCUUAGAUGGGCAGUAAUCCAAUAUAUGUUAAACAUGUUUAUAUAUAUAUAUAUAUAUAUAUAUAUAUAUAUAUAUAUGCAAUUAUCAUGUUAUGUUGCACAAGAAAAAUCAGAUCAAAGAGAAGGAAAACAAAAUGCAAACAAAUAAUAACAAAAAGAGUGGAAAUGCUAUGUUGUGAUCCACACUCAUUUCCCACAGUGCUCUUUCUGGAUGUAGAUGGCUCUCUUGAGCACAAGAUCAUUGGAAGUAGCCUAACUCAUGUCAUUUCAAUAUAUAUUAUUAAAAGAGAGAAAGAUGUUCCCUGUGCCUUUGGUUCUCUGAAUCAUGGAAAGUGGAUAAAGCAUGGAGCAUGGGAGAUGAAAUACUAAUAGCAAUAAUUUUUCAAAAAUACUAUUUUUCUCUCUCGUUCAUCAUGCAAAACUGGUCCCAAAGAAGAUGACAGAAACUCAAAUCCUGUCCAUAUGGCUAAGCAAGUUGUCCUCAUUUGUAACAGUCAAGGACUCCCCUUUGAAGUGGUUUUAAAACCAGUUUGGUAACUUGAUUUGAAAAGCUAUAUCAAUGACCCCGAGUAACUCAUUUGGCUCAUUAGCUAGUCAUCUGGACAGGGCAAAUUGGUUUAAAUGGAAUGAAAUGGGUUUCUCCCUCUUCAGGAUACCUCACAAUUCAUGGCUUCUGUCCAGGCUCCUAAUUGCUGCUAAUACCCUUCCUGAGCAGAAGACCAUAGCAAAUCCAUCCUGAGAGGCUCAGAGGAGUUUUAAUGUGUGGAUUCUACUUCCCCAAGGGGUUAGGGAGAUAGGCUGAUAAAACAUAGGAAAUUAACCUGAAAUGAGCUGGGCUGGGAGAGAGAUAGACCAUCAAAGAAGCAGCUCUGACAGACAGCAUGGAGCUGUAGUGAGAGAUACUUAUCUUUGAGGAGACAAGAUAACAUUAAUCAUAAAAGGGAGCAUAUGAGCUCUAAGGGGCCCUGAACAUCAUUUAUCUGCCUUACCAACUUCCCCUGCCUCCAUUGUAUAGAUGAACUGACAGAAGUACUUACUCAAGGAAAGAUACAGAGGUGGGCAGAGCCAGGGCUGAGCAGGAGUUCAGUUCUGAUGUUCAGUCCAAGACGCCUCAUUUAAUUGCUGUUUUCACAAAUUAGAGUCACAUUAUUGAUUGAUGUGAUGGAGACAAGUUCUUUGAGAAUUUGUAGAAAUAGGGUGCCCCAAUAUAACUGCUGGAAUGGUGUGAAUGUUAGACAGGUUGUCCACAUCUAUUGCUACUGUUUUGAAGCCUUUUAUAUCAUGCAUAUAAGUUAUCAGAAUGUAUUGCAAAUUGAAUGUGUUCAUUUUAACAUAUCUUUUGGGCAGGAGUUUUAUGCAAGAUUAACUACCUAAUAUUGCAAUAUUAUAAUUGCAAUUAUUAAUAAAUCAUAAUAUAAUUUCAAUAUUUUAAUAAUAAGUGCAAUAAUAUAAUUUCACUUUUCCAUUGUAAGUCUCUUUUUGUCCGCUGAAGCUAGAUCUGGGUUGUGCUCACCUCAUGCUACCCAUUGACCAGAUUUGAUUUGAUUGAAUAUCCUUUGAGUGGAGGCAUUCAAAGCUGAAGGUGACAACCUGAGUAUGUCAGUUAUUGCUAGUCUGGAGUCCUUCAAAGUUCAGCUCACUUGCCUUUCUACUUUAUAGGUACGAAGUAUUUGAGCACCUACUAUGUUCCAGGCAGGAUGAUAAGCAUUAAAGAUACACAAAGAGGCAAAAGGCAGUUCUUUUCCCUGAAGAAGUUCUCAAUCCAGUAGGAGAAACAACAAGCAAACAAAUAUGUAAAAGGGUAAAUAGAAAAUACUUAAGGGAAGGCACUAGAAUUAAGAAGAGUUGGGGACAGGAUGAUUUCAGAAAGGCCUGGAGAGACUUAUAUGAAGUGAUGCAGAGUGAAAUGAGCAGAAUCAGGAGAUCAUUAUACAUGGCAACAACAAGAAUAUAUAAUGAUCAAUUCUGAUGAUGUGGCCCGUUUCAAAAAUGAGAUGAACCAAAUCAGUUCCAGUUGUUCAGUAAUGAAGAGAACCAGCUAUACCCAGUGAACGUGGACCACAACAUAGCAUUUCCACUCCUGUUUUUGUCUGCUUGCAUUUUUGCUUUCCUUCUCAGAUUAUUUUUACCUUAUUCCUAAGUCUGAUUUUUCUUGUGCAGCAAGAUAACUGUAUAAAUAUAUAUAUACAUAUAUUGCAUUUAACAUAUACUUUAGCAUAUUUAACAUGUAUGUUACCUGCCAUCUAGGGGAAGGGUGGAGGGAAGGAAGGGAAAAGUUGGAACAUAAGGUUUUGCAAGGAUCAAUGCUGAAAAAUUACCCAUGCAUAUAUCUUGUAAAUAAAAAGCUAUAGUUUAAAAGAAGAAGAUGAAGAAGAAGGGCUGGGUAAGGCAUCCUUUGGAAGAUGGAAAUAUUAAUUGGAAUUUUAAGGAAGCCAGGGAACCCAGAAAAUCGAAACGAAGAGGGAAAGCCUUAUAGAUUUGAUGGCAGCCAGAGAAUAUGCUCCACAGCCAAGAAGUAGACAUUUCUUGUUUAUGGAACAGCCUGAAAACCUAUGUCACUGAAUUGAAGAAUAUGUGGAGGGGAAUAAAGUGUAGGAAGACUGGAAAGGUAGAUUAUGAAGGGCUUUGAAUGCCAGGUAGAGGAUUUUGUUUUUGAUCCUGAGGGUGAUAGGGAGCUACAGAAGUUUAUUGAUGGUGUGUAAAAGACAUGAUCAGACCUUUAGGUAAAUCAGUUUAGUGACUGAAGGAAGAUUGGAUUUAAGUGGAAAGGGACUUGAAGCCAGCAGACCACCGGUACUUAUGUUCAUGAUUCCUACCUUUCCCGAUUUGGAGAGUUAUAAGUGAAAUCUUAGAAUUUUUUAAAUAUGCUUUUCUUUCAUUCUUUGUGUUAUGGAGCAUGUUUUUAUGUGGUCAUGUACAGUUUGCAGUUCUUCAUUAGAAAACUUAAUUUUCUCUUUCCCAUUUUUGUCCUCUUGUGUUACCUGGGCACAGCUCUUAAUGUUACAUAUUUUUAAUCUGUUCUUCACAUAUUUUGGAUAUUAUACUUUUAUGAAUGUUAUUUGAUGUAAAAUGAUUUUGUUAUAUAUCUUUUUAUUCCAACUGUUCAUUUUAUUUGUGAAAAAUCUUAUGCAUUUUACAUAGUAAAAAUUAACCAUUUUAUCUUUUAUUAUUGUAUUUUCUAUUCUUUGUUUAGUUAAAAUUUUUCUCUUUAGCCAUAAUGGAAAGAUGCUUAUAUUCUCUUUAAAUUUUUUCUUUUCAUGAUAUUACAUCAGAAUGCUCUCACACAUAUACAUAUAUAUAAAUACAUGUGUAUAUAUAUAUAUGUAUAUACAUAUAUGUGUAUCCAUACACAUAUCCAUUCAGAGGUUAUUGUUGUAUAUAAGAUGUUAAUCUUAAUGUAAUUUCUGUCAAAGUACUUUUGAGUUUCUCCAGCAAAUUUUGUUGAAAUGAAAAUCCGUCUCUCACAAAAUUGUUAUUGAUUUUAUAAAAUAUUUGGCUACUGUUUCCAUUUAUAUUUUUUGAUAAUUUAGUUUUGUUUUCCCCAAAUCUACUUUUUUUUUUUUGCUGACAAGUGUGAAGUAGUUUUAAUAACUAAUAUUUUGUAAUACAACUUGAAGUCUAGUAAUGACAUAUACCUUUGAUGCAUACUCUUUUCACUAUUUUUUCUUAAAAUUCUAGUUCUUCCAAAUGAAUUUUGAUAUCAUUAUUUCAAGGGGAAAAAAAAUUGUAAUUUGAUCGGUAUAGCCCUGAAACUAUAAAGAACCUAGAUUUGUCUCUUUUACUAUAUUGUCACAGUCCUGCUGUAAGCUAAGGAUUACUUUUCUCUUCUCAGAGCUAUUAAGUGUCUGAAGAUGAAUGUGAACUCAGGUCCUCCUGCCUCCAGGGUCUGUGUUCUAUGCAUUCCAUCACCUAGUUCUCCUGUCUGGUUUUAAAUAUGAGAAUAUGCUUGGUAUCAUCCUGGAUACCCUUUCAGGGAGACAACUCGAUAGGCUAAAAAUUUAGAGCACUAGACUUGAAAACUGGGUUCAAAUAUUAGCUGUGCUCCUUACCGCUUGUGUGACCUUAGGAAAACGAUUUCCUUUCUCUGGGUCUUGGUUUCCUCCAAUGAAGUUGCUGGACUAGAUGACUUGACUGUUCUCGCUUAGACCAGAAUAUCUCCAAUAUCUCCUGAUGCCGUAAUAACUCCUGCUACUCUUAGGCACGAUACUUGGGCCUGUCACAGUGCUGGCCAUGGUGCUGACAUCUAUGAAAAACAUGACUUAGGAGAUGUGUGAUACAUACCCUUAAAACUUUUUUCACUCGCAGCCCCUUUUUGUCUGAGAAAAUUUUACAGUAAAACAGAUAUACAUUUACUAAUAAUAAAUCAUAAUUUCACCACCUCGAUAUUCACUUACAAGAUACUUUAUGGGGUUGUGAACUACAGUUUAAGAAGCUGAGCUCCUAAAGGACUGUUGGUGUAGAUUGGGGGAGAGAAUAUAUACACUUAUGUGCAGAUCACUGUGUCAGAUUCGUAAUCAUGACUAAAUGAUAAAAGGUGCAUUUGAGAAGGAGGGCUUGAUGUACUUUAGAGAUGAAGGUCACUGGAUUCUUCAGUUGACACAGAAGGCUUUUUGAAGGGGGUAAGAAUUAAGCAAGAGUGGGAAGGAUAGAUAGGUUUCAGAGUGCUUUCUGAACUCUGGUCUUUGCUCUGCUUUCACAAUCCUCAGCCCAAUGGCCCAGCAGUCCUACUUAUUCUUCACUCUAGAAAACUCUGCUAUCACUUUUUGUUUUUCAGUUUGGGCCUGAUUUAAUAUUUCAUAAAUGCUUCCAGUUGCAGUCCCAGAACUAUGUAAUUUGACUAUAGAAAUAGCAUAAGCCUCUUUCACCUUGAUAACCUCCCAAAACCCUCCUCUUAUUAUUCUUAUUCCUGAGCCCUGUUUUCUUAAUUGAAUUUGGCUGUUGUCCCAGAACUGAUUGUGAACAUAUUAAAACUCGAAAAGUUAUUGUAAUUGUUCAGAUGGUUAAAUAAAUAGGCAUCUUUUUUUUUUUGAAUUAAAUAACACCUAUCAGCAAAAGUCAUUGGUUUCCCUGACCCCCACCCUAGAUCCCUUUCCCACCAUUUAUAAGUUUGAAGAUUAAUAUAGUCUCUUUCCUCUUUUAGUCAUUCCAUGUUGUAAUAAUGUGUCAUUCCCCCAGUAGGAUAAGGAGACUGUUCAACCUCUAAAGUUACCCAACUCUUACAGUAAAAGUAUAGUCAUCUUGAAUUGGAUCCAGUUCACAGCUUGUCAUUUCCCAACCAAAGUUAUUGGGAAGAGGAAUGUGACAUAGGCUGAGCUAGUCAUUCUUGGGAUGUUUUGAUCAAGCCAACUUUAUGUACUGAAAAACAGACUUGGUGGCAGGUCCUUUUAAGGACUCUCUAAGUUGAAUGAUAUUUUUAUAUAAGAAAUACUGUUAUAAUUGAGUUUGUGUCCCUUAACUUAGCUUAAUAUAUUUUGAUGAACUUUAUAUCACAGUCAUUUUUAAAUAUAUCCCUUCUUUCCUAUCCAGUGACCCAUUGUACCUCAUACCUAAGAUAUAAAAAGAAACAAAGAGGUUCCAAAAUAAACUAAUAUAUCAACUAUGCCUGAUCAUGCAUGCAAUAUUCCAUAGCCAUGCUUCUCCUACUUCUACAAAAAGAAAAGGAAAAUAGUUUCCUCUAUUCUUUUCCAAGACAAAAUGUGGUCAUUAUAAUUAUAAAAUGUUCAGAAUCAGUGUUUUCUGUUCUUUCUGUAUAUGUUUUUAUUUUCAUUAUGUUUAUUAUUUUCCUGGUUCUAUUUAUAUCAGUUGACAUAAAUCUUAUGUUUUUCUUAAUUAUUUGUAUUGGUUAUUUCUUACAGAGUAAAAAUAUGCUUUUACAUUCAUAUAUCACAAAUAUGUUUAGCCCCUCCCCAGUGAAUUAACAACCAACUUUUUAUAGAUAUGUACAACCUAGUUCUGGCCUAUCUUUAAGUCAUGCUCCAGGCUCUACCUCCUCCCUGAACUGUUAACCUGGACCUCUGAGCUCCUGAUGGGGUGAAAAUUCCUUAUUUAUCCUCACCCAGUUCUAACAUGCUACUUUCCCCUUUUCCUUUUCCUUUCAAUGUUUCCUGACAUCAGGGUCUUUUCCAGUGAAUCCCCUCUUCUCAUUAUGGGAUCAGAGUAUUUAAACUUCAGUAUUUAACUUUCCAGUGAAUAACCUGAAUUAAUGUCUUUAAGUAUUUUAAGUACUGAUUUGAUCUCUUAACUGUCCGAGAGAUUCUCAAAAAUCUUCUCCAGCACCAUAAUUUGAAAGCAUCAAUUGUGUGGCUCUCAGCUUUCCUUAUAAUAUAACUCUCACAGCCAUACAUUGCUACUUGAAAAAACCAUAGCUUUGACUAUUCAGACAUUUAUUGGCAAGAUGAUAUCUCUGCUUUUUAUUGUCCAUAUUCUUUUAAUUUCAUGACUGUAGUUAGCAUGAAAUUAGUGAUUGUUUAUUUUUUUUCCCUUUCUAUAAAGCAUAUAAAUUAAAUUUAUAGGCAGUGCUAUUUGUAAUCCAGAAGUUCCCUGGGAGUUAAGUUAUAUUUAAAGAUGACCUAUCUAGUUCCGUGGACCUAAUAAAGUUCAGAAACUAGAACUAGGACCCAGGUCUUGAUCUGUAAGCUCAGUGAUUUAUCAUCUCACUUUGAUAAGUUGGUCCUCACCAGAUAGAAGAGAUGGAAAGAACAGAGUGUCAUUAAAAUUCCAUGAAAAUUUAACAUAUUAAGUUAUGCUUUGAGCUGCCUUAGGAGAAGUGCUAAUGUAAACAUCCAGUUCCAUGAUCUAGAGUUCUAUAAAAUUAUUCCCAGGGCUAUGAAGUUCAACAGUUGGUUAUUUGCUUUUCAUUUUUUCCUCCUUCUUCCUGGUUCAUUCUUGUUAAACUUAGUUUACAAAUCAACACAUCACUCAAAUGCCUAUCACUUUUUAACCACUUGAAAUGUACCUGCAUUUCCCAAUCACAUACUUUGUUCCAGAUCUCAUUACCCUAGAAGUAAAAGGGGGCAGGAACUAGUAUGAUACAGCCAAGUAAAAAUGGAAAUGUGAUUUAUCAUGGAAGCAAAUGCUGGGCUUAUAGAAAAGAACCUCUGGCUUUGUCAUUAAUUUGUUGUCAAGAUUGGCAUGGGCCCAUCCCCAGGCAGCAGGGGUUUGGGGUUAGGGAGAAAGGCAGUCAAGUAGAUCACAGUCUUAAUACUGAGUGUUAAAUGUCAAAUAAAAGUUCAUAUUUUAUUCCUGAGGCAAUAGGGAGCCAGUGGAACUUUUUGACCUGAUGAAAUGCUCAUACUGGUUCAAUUGCUACCUGCUUUAUAAUAUGUAAUAAGAAGUAAGUUGUUUCACUUGUAUUUGGACCUUAUAUUUUGGAUAUAUUGUAACUCUAUGACACUUUAAAAUCACUGUAGAAGAAUCAAGUUAGCAUUUAUUUAGUGGCUACUGUAUACCUAGUUACUGUGCUAACUGCUGAGACUUCAAGAAAAGAUAAAAACAGUUCCUGCUGUCAAGGAGAUGGCAGUAUAAUAAGCUAAUUAUUACCAUAGUCUAUUCUGAUUCGUGGGCAUUCAAUAAACUCAGUAGACAGAGCUUUUGUGUGCUGAAUGAUGAGGCAAAAUGAGUAAGACUUGUCCCUACUUUCUCCAAAAAAGCUCACAACCUGGGAAGGAUGUUGGGGAGGAGAGUUAAGAAUAAGACAAAAGUAAAAUUAACUAAUAUAGAGGAAUAUAAAUGUACCUUUAUAGAUAGAUAAAUGUAGAGGAAUGAAAAAACUGUAAUAUAAAGGAAAGUGUGGGAGAAGCAUUAAAAAUUACCCAAGAAUUUGAGGGGUGAGGUGAGGAUCAGGAAAAUUGUUUUUUAAGUAGUGAUAUCUAGAGAUGUGAAUCAUAGACUCUGAGUGUCAGAAGGAAGCAAAUCUCUUUGUGACUUUUAGAGUAAUGUUUAAAUAAAAGUUUUGUUUGUUUCCGUGUAUUUAAUUCAAGACUUUACCACAGGAUCAUAGAUAUAGAAUUGAAACAGAUCUUAGAAGUCAUUGAAUUAAAGCUUUUGAUAAAUGCUUAUUGACCAACUUGGUCACAUAACUAGUAAAUAUCUGAGCCUAAAUUUAACCCCAAAUCUUUUUGACUUCCAAUCCAGUGCCAUAUCUACUUGGUUAUGCUCUCAAAACCCUAGAAUCAUCUAGAAGCCCAAAUCUAAAACAAAUCUGAUAAUUUUCACCUCCUUGGCAUUUUUUGCAUCCAUCCACUUAUCUCUAUUCAUUUGAGAGUUGCUCUAGUUCUUGGCCCUCCUCAUCUUUCCCUUGCAUUAUUGUGAGAGUCUCUUCCUCCUGUAUUUAUCUAAUCUCUACCUCCUUUAAUCUGUCUACCUUAGAGAUGCCAAAUUGAUAUUCUUAAUAUUACUAUUCUAUAAAAAGUGGUGAACAAGCUGAUUAUAGAAAGGCCUGUAAAGGUUUACAACAACUGAUGCUGAGCAAAACAAGCAGAACCAGGAAUAUAUUGUACACAAUAACAGCAAGAAUGUGUGAUGAUCAACUAUGAAAGUCUUGGUUCUUCUCAGCAGUUCAGUGUCCCAAAGUGAUCCCAAUAGACUUUGGACAGAAAAUGCCAUCUGCAUCCAGAUAAAGAACUAAGGAGACCGAAUGUAAAUCAACACAUG
rnacentral:lncRNA from 1 species